rnacentral:lncRNA from 1 species
GGCGUACUACGUACUAGAGGCUACAUUGUCAAGAGCGGAUCUUGCCGACAGUGCUCCCAUUCUGCACGCCGUAGCAAAAGCGAAAUAUAAGAGGGACUAUUAUUUCCAGUACUACGACGCUCAUAGAAAGUGUGCUGUUUUUACAUUCGACCAUGGACUGGGAAUACCCAAAUGCGAAAUUCACAUCUGGAAGAAGAUGGUGGGCAGAGGACCGUCGCAAAAUUGCAGAAGGGAGUACGAGUACUUGUGUCCAAGGAAAAGACAUUACGAAGUUUAUGAAAAUACUUGCUUUUAAUAAAUUUGUUCAUUCCUUUUGGAAAUUUCAUGACUGCAUAGGAACACCUUGUCCUUGUG